UACGUAGGGACCAAGCGUUGUUCGGAUUUACUGGGCGUAAAGGGCGCGUAGGCGGCGCAAUAAGUCACUUGUGAAAUCUCCGGGCUUAACUCGGAGCGGCCAAGUGAUACUGUUGUGCUAGAGUGCAGAAAGGGCAAUCGGAAUUCUCGGUGUAGCGGUGAAAUGCGUAGAUAUCGAGAGGAACACCUGAGGCGAAGGCGGGUUGCUAGGCUGACACUGACGCUGAGGCGCGAAAGCGUGGGGAGCAAACAGG
rnacentral:rRNA from 1 species